rnacentral:rRNA from 1 species
ACGGGAGGCAGCAGUGGGGAAUAUUGCACAAUGGGCGCAAGCCUGAUGCAGCAACGUCGCGUGAGGGAAGACGGUCUUCGGAUUGUAAACCUUUGUCUUUGGUGAAGAAACAAUGACGGUAGCCAAGGAGGAAGCCACGGCUAACUACGUGCCAGCAGCCGCGGUAAUACGCAGGUGGCAAGCGUUGUCCGGAAUUACUGGGUGUAAAGGGAGCGCAGGCGGGACAGCAAGUUGGAUGUGAAAUACCGAGGCGUAACCACGGAGCUGCAUCCAAAACUGUUGUUCUUGAGUGAAGUAGAGGCAGGCGGAAUUCCGAGUGUAGCGGUGAAAUGCGUAGAUAUUCGGAGGAACACCAGUGGCGAAGGCGGCCUGCUGGGCUUUAACUGACGCUGAGGCUCGAAAGUGUGGGGAGCAAACAGGAUUAGAUACCCUGGUA